AUUGAACGCUGGCGGCAUGCUUUACACAUGCAAGUCGAACGGCAGCGCGGGCUUCGGUCUGGCGGCGAGUGGCGAAGGGGCGAGUAAUGCAUCGGAACGUGCCCAGCUGUGGGGGAUAGGCCGGCGACGGACGGAUUAAUACCGCAUUAGCCCUGACGGCGAAAGCGGGGGACCGAAGGACCUUCCGCCAUUGCACGGGUCGAUGUCGGAUUAGCUAGUUGGUGGGGUAAAGGGUUACCAAGGCGACGAUCCGUAGCUGGUCUGAGAGGACGACCAGCCACACUGGAACUGAGACACGGCCCAGACUCCUACGGGAGGCAGCAGUGGGGAAUUUUGGACAAUGGGGGCAACCCUGAUCCAGCCAUGCCGCGUGGGGGAAGAAGGCCUUCGGGUUGUAAACCGCUUUUGUUCGGAAAGAAAAGCUGUGGGCUAAUACCCCGGUGGGAUGACGGUACCGAAAGAAUAAGCACCGGCUAACUACGUG
rnacentral:rRNA from 1 species